GGGCUCGGACGUCACUCCAACCCAUGUGAACGUUACCAAACUGUUGCCUCGGCGGGAUCUCUGCCCCGGGUGCGUCGCAGCCCCGGACCAAGGCGCCCGCCGGAGGACCAACCAAAACUCUUUAUUGUAUACCCCCUCGCGGGUUUUUUUAUAAUCUGAGCCUUCUCGGCGCCUCUCGUAGGCGUUUCGAAAAUGAAUCAAAACUUUCAACAACGGAUCUCUUGGUUCUGGCAUCGAUGAAGAACGCAGCGAAAUGCGAUAAGUAAUGUGAAUUGCAGAAUUCAGUGAAUCAUCGAAUCUUUGAACGCACAUUGCGCCCGCCAGUAUUCUGGCGGGCAUGCCUGUCCGAGCGUCAUUUCAACCCUCGAACCCCUCCGGGGGGUCGGCGUUGGGGAUCGGCCCUGCCUUUGGCGGUGGCCGUCUCCGAAAUACAGUGGCGGUCUCGCCGCAGCCUCUCCUGCGCAGUAGUUUGCACACUCGCAUCGGGAGCGCGGCGCGUCCACAGCCGUUAAACACCCAACUUCUGAAAUGUUGACCUCGGAUCAGGUAGGAAUACCCACUGAACUUAAGCAUAUCAUGAGGGGCGGGGGGAA
rnacentral:rRNA from 1 species